rnacentral:lncRNA from 1 species
AACCUUAGAACUGUGGAUUCACAGUCAUCCUCGACAAAGUUUCAGGUUCAGGAUGGGAAGCAUCGAGAAAGCUUGAAGCAAGAAUCCACGACAGGUAGGGUGCUCUGGGCUCAAUUUUAACGAUUCAUUAAAAAGAAAGUGAAUUAAUAAAGCUAUUACAUGUUUCCAAGUCUUUUUUUUUUUUCUCCCCAGGAUGCUUUUGAAACACGGAUCCUUUAAAACUCUGCUAAUGUUUUAGGAGAAUGAACAGUAUAUUACUGUCCCUCCUUGGUAAAGAGAAGGCUAAGAGUUUCAAGGCCAUACAUCAUGGAGCAGAACUGAAGUCAGAAGUUCAUUCAAGAUGCCAGAAUUCACUCCCAGAGCAACAGAACCAAGGUCACUGGCAGCCCCGAGGAAGAAGGAAAGAGACAAAUCCCAGAGACAAAGACGAGCAACUCAGCAAUGAAGAAGUAAGGAUGAUUGGAUGGAUUUUCUCCAUCCAGCAUCCUAACUGUGAAGCAUCUCUGCAAUUUUUUUAAUUCAAAGACUUCUCUUUUCCUUAUUGGAUUAUAAAAGCUACAUAAUAAAAACAGAUCUCUCAGGAAGAACGUCA